UACGGAGGGUGCAAGCGUUAUCCGGAUUCACUGGGUUUAAAGGGUGCGUAGGAGGACAGGUAAGUCAGUGGUGAAAUCUCCGAGCUUAACUCGGAAACUGCCUUUGAUACUCUCUGUCUUGAAUAUGGUGGAGGUAAGCGGAAUAUGUCAUGUAGCGGUGAAAUGCUUAGAGAUGACAUAGAACACCUAUUGCGAGGGCAGCUUACUACGCCUAUAUUGACGCUGAGGCACGAAAGCGUGGGGAUCAAACAGG
rnacentral:rRNA from 1 species